ACCACAAGGACGUGACCAUUCAUGGCAGCCAGCAUCAGCAGAGAGAUACCCAAUGUACUUCUAGUCCUGACAGGAAACAAACACACAAGGUUGAUAAACUGUCGUAUCUGGAGUUGAUUUCAGCACCAGCAUUCAGGAGGAUCUUGAUGUUGAUGCAGCCCCCUGAGGYGGCCAGGCUGAGAGGAGUAAUCUGAAAUGCUACACUGCUUCUUGUUGGCCCCACGCAGCAGCAACAGUUUUACCACCAGGAAGGAAUGGACCACAGAGCAGGCCAGGGAGAGAGGUGUGUUUUUGAUUCUCUCAGACUGGGCWUCGAUGUCCUCUCCUUUAUCCAGUAGGAUCUCCACCACGGCAAUGUGAUCCGCUGUAGCAGCCAGGAUUAGAGGAGUGAAACCAGGGGACAGAGAGAUUACUCUCCAACACCUACAUACACAGAUAGACUCCCACUUAUACACAGAAACUAUACAUUUCCCAGAAAAAUGUACAUAUAAAUAUAAAAAUAUAGCUAGGUGGUGUGACGUAGAUGUGCAUCGAUGUCCAGAGGGGGAGCAUGGAGGGUGGGGACACUGAAUUGAUGGGCAUCUGUGCUGUGGGUAUGGGCGAGGUUGUAGUGUUCAACAUAGACACUACUGCUCACCGCUACUGUAACAGAGGGAGAGAGAACAAUUAAUAAAAGAGCGUUCAACCUAUAA